rnacentral:rRNA from 1 species
AGAGUUUGAUCCUGGCUCAGGAUGAACGCUGGCGGCGUGCUUAACACAUGCAAGUCGAACGAACCUUCGGGUUAGUGGCGGACGGGUGAGUAACGCGUGGGAAUCUGCCCUCAGGAGGGGGAUAACGGCUGGAAACGACCGCUAAUACCCCAUAUGCCGAGAGGUGAAAUGAAUUUCGCCUGAGGAUGAGCCCGCGUCUGAUUAGCUAGUUGGUGAGGUAAUGGCUCACCAAGGCUUCGAUCAGUAGCUGGUCUGAGAGGAUGAUCAGCCACACUGGGACUGAGACACGGCCCAGACUCCUACGGGAGGCAGCAGUGGGGAAUUUUCCGCAAUGGGCGAAAGCCUGACGGAGCAACGCCGCGUGAGGGAUGAAGGCCUCUGGGCUGUAAACCUCUUUUCUCAAGGAAGAAGAUCUGACGGUACUUGAGGAAUAAGCCACGGCUAAUUCCGUGCCAGCAGCCGCGGUAAUACGGGAGUGGCAAGCGUUAUCCGGAAUUAUUGGGCGUAAAGCGUCCGCAGGCGGCCCUUCAAGUCUGCUGUUAAAGCGUGGAGCUUAACUCCAUCAAGGCAGUGGAAACUGUUGGGCUUGAGUGUGGUAGGGGCAGAGGGAAUUCCCGGUGUAGCGGUGAAAUGCGUAGAUAUCGGGAAGAACACCAGUGGCGAAGGCGCUCUGCUGGGCCAUAACUGACGCUCAUGGACGAAAGCCAGGGGAGCGAAAGGGAUUAGAUACCCCUGUAGUCCUGGCCGUAAACGAUGAACACUAGGUGUCGGGGGAAUCGACCCCCUCGGUGUCGUAGCCAACGCGUUAAGUGUUCCGCCUGGGGAGUACGCACGCAAGUGUGAAACUCAAAGGAAUUGACGGGGGCCCGCACAAGCGGUGGAGUAUGUGGUUUAAUUCGAUGCAACGCGAAGAACCUUACCAGGGUUUGACAUCCUGCGAACCUCUAAGAAAUUGGAGGGUGCCUUCGGGAACGCAGUGACAGGUGGUGCAUGGCUGUCGUCAGCUCGUGUCGUGAGAUGUUGGGUUAAGUCCCGCAACGAGCGCAACCCACGUUUUUAGUUGCCAGCAUUCAGUUGGGCACUCUAGAGAGACCGCCGGUGAUAAACCGGAGGAAGGUGUGGAUGACGUCAAGUCAUCAUGCCCCUUACAUCCUGGGCUACACACGUACUACAAUGCUACGGACAAAGGGCAGCGAACUCGCGAGGGCAAGCAAAUCCCAUAAACCGUGGCUCAGUUCAGAUCGUAGGCUGCAACUCGCCUACGUGAAGCAGGAAUCGCUAGUAAUCGCAGGUCAGCAUACUGCGGUGAAUACGUUCCCGGGCCUUGUACACACCGCCCGUCACACCAUGGAAGUUGGCCACGCCCGAAGUCGUUACUCCAACCCUUGUGGAGGAGGACGCCGAAGGUGGGGCUGAUGACUGGGGUGAAGUCGUAACAAGGUAGCCGUACCGGAAGGUGCGGCUG